UUAAAGCCCAACAGUGACAGAGUAUUGGAGUACUUGACGUGCAUUGUGAAAGUUGAUCGAGACUAUCAAUUCUUCGAGAGUCCCAGUGCCUAUAUACUCGCAAGAAGGAUAUGGUAUGAAAUACAGCUUGGUACACAUCUGUGCUGGUAGAUUUGUACAUUUGGAAGUUGUUUCAGUGUGGAGAGAGAUGGACACGGUGUAUUGUACGUUAAUCUUAAGACCAAGGAGGCAGAUUUGCAAGAAUGGCAUGAAACAUGGUGAUGAUGGAUGGACGUGUGGAUCGUUAAAGCCCAACAGUGACAGAGUAUUGGAGUACUUGACGUGCAUUGUGAAAGUUGAUCGAGACUAUCAAUUCUUCGAGAGUCCCAGUGCCUAUAUACUCGCAAGAAGGAUAUGGUAUGAAAUACAGCUUGGUACACAUCUGUGCUGGUAGAUUUGUACAUUUGGAAGUUGUUUCAGUGUGGAGAGAGAUGGACACGGUGUAUUGUACG